rnacentral:tRNA from 1 species
CCGUAGCUUAGCGGAUAAAGUGUUCGACUCCGACUCGAAAGACCGUGGGUUCAAAUCCCGCCGGGU